GCUAUGCCUCAAUUGAUAAAGUGAACUAAUUGCCUACUUCAAAAGCAGUUUUGCAUGAAAGUAUAUGAAAUGGAUAACCAUCAUCGAAGAACCUCAACUAGCUGUCGGCAACGUGCAGGUUAACCAAGGAAUUUUCGGUGUGUCCUUUAUGGACUGUACUCCAUUUUAGCAUUAUCCUCAAGUUUUACCCGAGAGGCCACGCGAUUGGACCGUCUUCCUUAUAUCUACUGACUUCAUAUAAAUGAAAGUGUACUAAGGACUCGCUGAUCUGCACUACCAGCUCAUGUUCAACGUUACUGAACAACAAAGUAAUCCGACAAUCAGACUGGACCCGGUCAUGUUAGGUACCAAAGGAAAACGAAGAUAUCAUUGGUUCUGUACUGAUGCAUGACAUCGCUCGGAAUGCGGCAAUAAUAAACAAUGGAAGAAAAUACUACAGACGUGUUUAUUAACAAUAAAAUUAUUUUUGUUUUUAUGAAAUAGCGAUUGAAUAAAAAUAUUAGGUAUAUGAGUUUUAUUUAGAGAUGAAAUAAGUCAGA